AAACAGGAAGGGCCCCCUUUUCCCCUCUGCUCCUGCUCUAGCUGCAGAAUGUGAUCCACCAGCAAGGAGGGACGCCAAUAAGGCGUCCGUGACCUGUGACCAUUCCUGGUGGUGACCUUUGAGGUCUCCAAGAAGAUAAUGGGGCACUGCAAUGACAAAUCCACCUGGCCUUUGAAAACACCACUAAGCUGAUAAACACCAUCCAAAAAUCAGCUUUGGACUACAAACUGCUCAGGACAACUUCAAAGUGGUUAGUUAAGAUGGUCCAGCCUCACAGACUACUCCAGCUAGGAGUUCUACUAAGCCCUGCACUUUCCAUCACACCAAGAUUGGACAACAGCUAGCUCUCCCAGGACCAUUAUGUCAAUUUUCUCGGGGUCUCCUAAAGAUGCCCCCAGACAACAGUAAUCGUUUUUUUGCUUGUUUAAUUAAUUAAUUAUUUCAUUUUGCAUUCCAACCACAGUUCUCCCUCCCACCCAACAGGAAAUAGUUUUAAUAACUUGGUGUCCAUAUUUCCCAAGAGGUGGGGUGAGUGGUUUUGGUCAGUUGAUGGAUUGUAGAUGUUUAUCAUCAUUUGGGGGGUUGGUUGAAAGUUGUUACUGGUUACGGUCAGGGGAAAAACCACACAAAGGAGACUAGAUUCAGGGACCUUGUUCUGAAAAGAAAAAAGGGGGGAUAUUACAAGAUAUUAUAGGAAUUACAGGAAAAGGGGGUAGAUUAUUGAAUCUCCUUUUAAACUAAAAUAACCACUAGUCUCAAAUAGUUAACAUUGGUAUGGAUUUUUUUUUAUAGUGGUACAAUUUUCUUUUUUCCAGACAGGGUUUCUCUGUGUAGCUUUGUAGACCAGGCUAGUCUCCAACUCACAGAGAUCUGCCUGCCUCUGCCUCCUGAGUGUUGGCAUUAAAGGCAAGCACCACCAUAGUGAUACAUGAUCCCAGCCAUAGGAUACAAAUUUAAGGUUAUUUUUGUUACAUUGUAUAUGUGUUUCUACUCUUGUUUAAGGUAUUUUUGUAUAUUGAUUCAAAUUUAGGGUUAUUUUUGUUAUACUGUAUAUGUUUCUGCCCUUGUUUAAGGUGUUUUACCUAUGCAGCUCAUUUAACAAUGUGAAGUUCUAAUACUUAAAAAUUAUUAUUAAAAACUAUUUAGGAUAAUUAAUAAGUACAGGUUAGUAGUUAGUCAUCUAUAGUAAUCAAAUUUGUGACCAUGUUUGGUAUGUUUUCUAGGCUAAACAGAGAUAUAGUUUAGAUAGAUGGUUUUUAAACACUUCAGAGACCUAUAGAAUAUGGCAUUUAAAAUGUUUUAAUAACAUAAGGCUUUCAUGACAGACAGCAAGACAAGUCUGCUACUGGUAGCACCAAUGUAUUUAAAAAGGAUGACAGGAGUUCGAGGCCAGCCUGGUCUACAGAGUGAGUUCUAGGACAGCUUCCAAAGCUAUAGAGAAACCCCGUUUUGAAAAACCAAAGAAAAGAAAAGAAAGAAAAAAAAAAGGAUGAUGGGAAUUGAGGAAUCUCCAUUUGGAGUUUGCUUUCAUUGUGCAAAGUUAGCCACUGGGCAAAAACUGCCCUUGCCUGGACUGCUGACAGUAUUUGUCCAAAUUGGACAAGCAGGGCUCAAAAGAAGGUGACUGCUGAACUUCGCCAAGACAAGGUAAGACAGUCCUUCAAAAUUUCUACUUCACACAAGUCUGUCAGAUAUUCUAGGCCUGUAGGCCAAAGAUGGAUGCUCUAACAUUACAGAGGAAUCUUGGGUGACUGUCCAGGCAGCCAGAUGUCUCUUUCUAUAGCUUUGGAAUUUGCUUUCUCCGAACGACCUGUUGACUCAGGUAAUAUUAUAUUCUUCUCAGAUCUCUGAUGGGGUUGGAGACCAGAUAGUUAUAGUUAUAGUUAUCAAAUUCAGAAAAGAAGCACACAAAAGAGAUGUAAAAUGUAUAAGGUUGAGAGACAUAAAAACUUAAGUUGUUUAUCUAAAAAACGUUUUUAGGUCUAAAAAGAUAUUUCUAGGUUGGUAACACAAGUUUUGAUAGAAAGUGAAUUAGGUAUAAAACUUUGUCCUCACCAAGAGAAGAUAGACAAUGGAGUAUUUUCUCUGAAUUUGUUUAAUACAAAUGGACUGGACAUUGGAUGCAAUUCUUACUUGAUAAUUGUCCUUACUGUAUAUAAUUCUACCAUGUUAGAGUUAAAAUCUUCCUUUUUAGACAAAAAGGGGGAAAUGUUACUGGAGGUUCAUUUGUAUUAUUGUUCUGAGACUGACAAUGGAGUUAAAUCUUGAUUCAGUGGGUGGAGUUCAUGUUUAUCUGGCCUGAGUAAACCACAGAGUUUUCUGAUGGACUCAGAUGAAGAUAGAGACACACACAGAGAAAGAAGGAGGGUCUUGGAAAGCACUGAACCUUGUGAUCUGGAAGGUGGAGAGGAGAGAAGCUGAUCUUUUUCUAUAUCGCUCUGUGAACCUAUCAGGUUUAUACCUCAAUAUCUGACUCCCUGGCUUUAUUUGUUAAUAAAACAAUAAAAGAAGCAGCUAUAAUUAUAUUCAAUCUUUCAUGCAGUGGAGGAAGAAGAGCUGUCUGUAGGCACCCGUGUCUGUGUUCUGAGUACAUCAGCUCCUCUGUCUCCAGUAUGGCCUCUGCCCAUGGACUUCACUUCAGGCCAGCUCUGUGUUGACUCCCUACAAAGCUGAAGCAUUUCUUUUCUACCAGGUCCACUUUGGACCCUGGGGAAGAAGUGACCACCCUAGCUGGUGAACUGUGUCCCUCUCUCAGCAAGAGAUCAUGUCCUCCCUGUGCGCACAGUACAUUCACCAAGUUUAAUGGCAACUUUUGAAAUCAUACGACGAGAACCUUUGUGACUGCCACAUGGAAAGUUAUUCUGCCAGAUUAUCUCACAUUAAGACAACCUGCAGAGGCUUUAUUGAGCACAUUAAAAGAAAUAACAUGAAAGAGCUGGUUCACACAAGAAAUUCAAGGAGUGUUGCCUACUGGAAUUACUUCUCAUUUAACGAUAAUCAGCAGAUGCUGGAAUGCUUAGCAGCAGUGAUAAAGACUGGUUCUCCUGCCCUCAAGGAGCUUGCAAUGCUGGCACGAAGGCAGGAGGUUCUGGUUUGAGGGUUUCCUGGGUUACACAGUGUUUCAGAACAAACAACCCAUUCUAACCCCUAAAGCCACGGGAAAAUGGCCAAUUAACUGUAUUGCAGUGGGGAUGAGAAUUUUC
ensembl:lncRNA